AUCUGUUCGUAUUUGUCUCUCUCUGUCUCUUUUUCAUACACACACAUACUCAAAUGCCAUAUUUUAGUGCAUAGAGUGAUUCAAAAUGCACUACCAAUAAUCACCAAAAUAUCCCCUUCUCUUGCAAUAAUCUAAGAAUAAUCUAGGAAUCUAGAUUAUUUUUUUAAAGCCAGUAUUUGGGUCCAGAAGAUAUUCUCUUUAUAGUCUUGAGAAGCACAAUAAUCAAUUCCUUUAAGAGAGAAAAAUGUGUUUUUUUCCAAACAUAUUGCACGGAAAAGAUAAGGCAGCUUCUCCCUAGGGAGAUGGGAAGAACAAACAGUGUUGUCAACACAGGAAGGCUGCUGUAGAGGUGGACACAUCCCCCUGCCACCCUGAUUAGAGGAAGCCAGGAAGUAAGGGCGGUUUACUUGGAAACUACAAUGAGAACCAUGCUGCAGCCCCAAGUGGGGAAGGGGAGAAGCAACCUAAUCCGGGGAAGGCUGUGAUUCCAACAUGGCAUUUUCCUUCCAUCCUCCACAGCAUGUCUUUCUGAAUCUGUGUCUGCAAUGCCAGGGAAGAGCCAUCAGGCCUGUGCUCCCCAAAACAGAGCUGAAGAGUGGACCUCAGGAACCUGGUAAAGAUUUAGAAUGAGAGAAAAAAACUAUAGAACUAUGAAUUCAGACUGACUCUAGGGUAAAAAAAAUGAGUUUGUAUGGUAGAUUUGCACUGUGCAAAUUUAGCUAAGCAGGAGCUAUGUUUCCCAGGAUCCCUGUCUCUGCAUAAUUUCAGGUUAGCGUGGGCCACCAGAAACACACAUGAUGGGAUUUGGAAGGCUGAAGUUAAGCGUCAAUCACAUUCCUUUAAAGCACUGAAGAUCGGUGCAGGCAAAAGUGCAGAGCACAGGCACCACUGCAGCUCACCAAGUGAUUUCUGCUCUCUGGCUCACAUUAUUGACAUUGAGCAGAAGCCGGGCAUGCAGCUUCAUCAGCUCUCACCAGAUUUGCUUCCUUCAGUUUCUCCAGCUCCUGGGUCAGUUACAUGUUUAGCAACAUGAUGAAGCAAAGCAGUUUCUCUUGCAGGUCACUGGCAUCAUUGAAUUUGGAGGCUUCAAGACAGAGGCUGAAAAACAGUUUGCCUCUGUGAUUUCCAGCCUGUCCCCCUGAAUUCCAAUUUAUCAUUUCUCUCCAACAUUUCAUGUCUGUCUUUCCUUCUCGAUGUCCUGCUCUGCUAACUUCAGUCUCCAAUGCAAGACAUAGAAGCAACAGCCACACAUAAACUGUUUAGUCAGCUCCCAUAAUUGGGAAAAGUAAAAUAUUUGCAAUAAACAAUUGAUUCUACAUCACUUCCUGUGGUUCUGUUUCUCUGGGCAAACCCAACUUGAUACCAUCUGAAUAGUAGAAGUGAACCCACCAAUGUUCUUUGUGCUGGAAUUGACCUGGUUGUUAACCUAACUGGAUGAUUUGAUAGAGGCAAGAUAGAACAAUUGAGAUUUCUGACAAAGUUGUCAGGGAAAUAUAAUUGUAAAAUUGAAGAAUGGAACAGGAGCAGAUGGCAAUAAAUACCCAUGCUGAAGCAAUGAAAAUGACAGUUGGAAACCUUGAGAAUUCUGAAUUAAAUGUUUGGAGGAAGAUUGUCAAGAGAAAAAAGUUACAUGUAUAAAAUCUACAGUAGAAUUGGAAGAUGGAUCUAAUGAGAAUAACACUAAGGAAACACCAUCCUUCAAAAACUAAAAGCUCCUUGAUGAGACAAGAAAAUGAAGUGUCCCAGAAGAGGAAAUGCAGUAAGUGUUGGGGAUAAAAAGAAGGUUAGAAAGCGAACAAUUUCAGAAGGGAAGAAAUGACCUCUAAAAGGGAAGCUGGGAUGAUAGCAAAGGCAAUGUCAACGUCCUCACAAUUUCACUUAGAUUUUCCUGGCUACUCUGCAGAAGGCAUGAUAAGAUAAAUGCUUAUUGAUUUCAAGAUCAAGGCAACAGGAUCCUUUCUGUUUAAUUAUUUCUUUGUAAGUUAAAAACUAAAUGCUUUGGCAAGUGCUGUAAAUACAAAGGGCAGGGGUAUUCAGUGCCCUUAGAAUCAAUGGCAAGUUCAAGCUGUGUGUGACAAGGGAUAACCAUUAUUCAUCCAUUCAUUCUAACAAAGUCUGUAAAUGACUACCAUGCAUUAGGUGAUGGUCUGGUCACUGAAAUAUCAGAGACAGGUAAAGCUCAGUCUCUGUUCUUAAGGACCUCAGGGUUUAGAAGAAGAAAAAGACAUAUAAGUAAGUACAAUAGAAAUAUAAACAAGAACCAAAGGUAGCUCAGGGGAAGUGAGUAACUCUUAGAGGAAAAUAUUAAAUAAAGGAUUUCUGGAUGAGAGGAUGUUUGAACUGAAUUCUGAAGAUGAAUAAAAGUCCUUCUGGAGAAAUAAAAACACCAUUUUGGCAGAAAUAAUAGUAUAUGUGAAUACAUUUAGAACAAAGCAUGGAAACUAUGUUUAGGAUAUUGUCAUAAGCUUGGUAUCUUUAGAGCAUUUUGUGUAAGUGGUGAGGGGAGAAAAUGGGAGGAGAUAAAAAACGUAAACGUAGGGUAGGGUAGAUUAUGAAUGGAUAGAAAUGUCUCUUAAAGCAUCUGAACUAUACCCAAAUGCCUAGGAGGAGAAAGUGAAGCAUUCAAAGCAGAAGAAACCAGGAAUGGGUUUGCCAGCAGCGUUGAGAAUAAGUUGGAAGACAGAAAUAAGUGAAUUAUAGACACAGAUAUAUAUUUUUGAGUAAUCAGAAAUAGUGAGAAAUAAAGAGAGUCUUGCCUAAGACAGUGGUAGUGGAAAGAAAACAGCAGCAAGACUUAAGAGAUAGUCAAGAAAUAUUCAAUAGAAUCUGGUGAUGACUGAUGUGAGGUGUGAGAGAGACUUCAAGUUCUCUGGUCCAUGGAGAAGGAAGCAUGUUGAAUCUGAGGGGCCAGUAGACAUCUACAUAGCAGGAAAUAAUCGAGAGGGACUGCUGGUGUAAAGAUAUGAAGAGCACCAAAUUCCAUCACUUAUUUAUUUGAUGCUUGCCUCAUAGUAGUCACUCCUAACCCCAAAGGUCUCAGAGUCUCAGUAAUCUCCAAAGAAGGUGCAUGUAAUUAUAGAACACUGAGUUAUUUAAUUACACUACUAGAGGAAGUAUACGGUGUGACGAGAGCAUAGAGAAGGGUUCUUAACAAAGACUUGGCAUAAGGUAGCAUGGAGAGAGGGCAGCAGGCCAGGCAGGUUAGAGAAAAAAAAAAGUGUAAGCUGACAUCUAAAGACCUAGUAGAAAUGAACCAGAAAAAAAGGAAUACAGAAAUUUUUCAAGCAGUGAAAGUCCCAUGUGCCAUGACCAGGAAGCGAUAAUGGGCAUGGCGUACCUGAGAAAUUGUGGAAUGUUCCAUCGCUGGAGUGUCAAGUCUAAAAGGAGAACAGCAAGAGCUGAAGCUGGGAAAGUUAGCUUUGGCAUGAUCAUGGCACAAGCUAUUUUAUAGAACUUAAACUUUAUCUAGUGUGCAAGAGAAAGCCACUUAAGGAUUUUUUAGCAGGGUAGUGAUACAAUCAGAUUUGUAUUUUAAAAACUCAUUCCAGCUACUGUGUGGAAAAUGAGAUGUUAAUUAAAAUAGUGAGCCUCGAUGUGAUUUCCUAGGAUAAAGACCACAAUUUGAUUCAACCUGCUAAUGUGCUCUGGCCUUCAGGGUGCAUUUAAAAAAUUUAUUCAUUUAAUUCUGAGUUAGUUGUGAACAUUUAAAAAUUGGGAACUCUCACAUAAAAUCAGGGUUCCAGGGUUCUUUUGACAAAGUAGAUCUGGCAAAGCUGUGUCCUUACUCCUGACCUGUCAGCAACUGGCUGGAGCUGAGUUGUCCACAAAAUGAUGCUUUUAUACAACGUAGGUGCCCUUCUGCUCACCACAGUCCAAUGGAGGCAUUUAGUUUGAUUUUAGUGCCCCGGAAUUAACCAGAGAGAACAUGUAGACUGAGAAUAAAGAACCGCUGGACAUGCCUAUCUAAAACCAAACUCCUCUGCCAGAUGACAUCCCCAUUUCCUACUCAUGAUUUUUGUUUUAUCAAUUUUUUUCUCAUCAAAUUUUCCCCUCUACCGGGUCAUUUCCAUUGACAUAAAAACAUGUUAUUUUUCUGUCUUAACAAGAAUUUUUCUUGGCUCUCUUCCCCACCAGCUACCCCCAUAACUUUGUUCUCUUUUCCUCUCAAAUCAUCUUCUCAAGCCAACCACUCUAGGAACACCGCUCAUGUCAGUGUCAUCAAGGACUUUCUUGCUGCCAAUUUCAAUGUGUAGUUCUUAGUCCUCACCUUACUUAACCUAUCUGCGGUAAUCAACACAAAGUUAGUCAUUGCCUUUUAUUUGAAACGAUGUUUUACCCCCUUGACUUUUAGGAUACACUACAUAUCUUGAGGAUCUUUCUACCUUGCUGACUCUUCCUUCUUAGUCUCUUUUAUGAAUUCUUCUUUCUCAAGGCCGGAGAGCCUCAUAUCUUAGUCUUUGUAUCUCUUCUCUGUCUGUACUCACUCCUUGUCAUUCAGGGCUGUCAACAACCUUAUGUCUUUAAAUACCAUCUAUAUGUUAAAAGCUUCCAAGUUCCUUACUCCAGCCCCUACCUUUCUCUUGAGCACCAUUCUCCCAAUGCCUAGUUGAUUUUUGACAUCUAACUAAAAAGCAUCUAAAGUUCACUAUGUUAAAUACAAACUUGGAUUCUCAUCUGUCUUCCACUAAACAUGCCCCUCUCAUAGCAUUCCUAUCUUAAAAAAUGACAUCCCAUUCCACCUGUUGUCAAUGCCAAAGACUUCUAAAAUAACCUUACUUCUUCUGUUUCCUUCACACCACACAUCAAAUCUGCUGCAAAUCCUAUUGGCCCUACCUAUCUUUGAAAUUUUUCCAGAAUGCAAUCCCUUCUUCCUCCUCCACUGCUUCCACUCUGGUCCAAUCCCCUUCGAUCUCCUUCCUGGAAUUUUACAAUAGUUUCCUAGCUGAUGUCUCUGUUUUCAAGGUUCCUUCCUGCAGGUUCUACACUGAAAAAGCAACCAGCACUUGAAAAGAAAGAGGGUUUCUGUAAUACUUUCUCAGGAUGAGUUUGAAGUUAUGCAUUUGGGGCAAAACUAUUGUAUAAGUGAGGUGUGUCCUUCUUGGUACAUCAUGAUGAAGUUGAUAUGUCUUAUUUCUAGAGAUUUUAAUCUUAAUAAUUUGUUUAAGGCAGUGCCUACAGAUUGUCCCCACUGUAAAGAAACAUAUCUAUGUAGACUUUUUGAACAUGUACAGUACAUGUUGUGUUUCUCUACAAACUUUGACUAGUCACCAGUAGAAGAAAAGGAUCCAGAAAAAGAAUGGAGUAUUGAACAUCUCUUGUGUCCUACUUCACAUUGUACUGUCACACUUUCUUAAAGCUGCCAUUUUUUGGAACAACCAGCUGAGCUAAAAUGUAAUCAGAUAGUAUCUUGUCAUAACUGUACAGAGUAACUUUGGGGACUUUAGCCAUAAGGAUUAGCUGGCAACAACAAAAAGGACAUUGUUGGAAUUCACUCAGAUAUACUUCCACAUGUGCAAAUGUGGAAGUGCAAUGUUGCUAAUUGUCUGAUGUGGUUUGGCUCUGUGUCCCCAACCAAAUCUCAUCUUGUAGCUUCCAUAAUUCUCAUGUGUUGUAAGAGGGACUGGAUGAGAGAUAAUUGAAUCAUGGCAGUGGGCCUUUCCUGUGUUGUUCUCAUGAUAGUGGAUAAGUCUCACAAGAUGUACCUCACGAUAUCUGAUGGCUUUCAAAACCGGAGUUUGGGUCGGGCCUGUUGGCUUAUGCCUGUAAUUCCAGCACUUUGGGAGGCCAAGGCUGGUGGAUCACCUC
rnacentral:lncRNA from 1 species